AUUUUGUGAGUAUUUGGGUAAUGGAUUUCAAAAGCUGAACUCAAAAAAUUGAUUAAUUGGGCUUUUAAUUAGGAAAAUUCGAUCAAAUGGUCUAAUUGAGUGAGUGCAUUGAUUAGUAUAUUGUUGUGUAUUCUGUGCUGUUCAGUAAACUUUUGGGAAAAUCUCAAGCAUUAAAUACGAGGGAAGCGUUUUUUCUGCAAAAGAGUAAACGAAGAAGACGAAUAAGGGACAAAGAAAAUUGGUAGUUUGAGCAAAAAUUGACGAGGGAAAUGAACAAAGGUGACCAAGCUUCGGUAAAUCGGCACAUUUUGACGACACAGAAGAAGAAACGCAAGGGCAAGAAAAAGGGAAAAGCUGCUGCAGUCAUUCAACAGCAACAACAACAGAACCAACAAAAUGUGGAAAAUACGAGCAGUGGCGUAAACACGACGAAUCAGCAGCAACAGCAGCAGUCCAAGAAGAAGAAUAACGCGAAAAACUCGAUAAAUAAACAAAUGGACUCGUCAAUGGACUCGAAUGAGGAUACAAAUGAUGGUGGUCUCAGUCCGAGCGGUUAUGCUCCAGGUGACGACUCGGAUUCGGGUUUGAUGAACAGUAGUUUUAAUCGCGUCGACGGAGGCGACGAUAACAAUGUGAUGGUGGACUCGAGUGAGGACGAAGAGCAGGAAAGUCGCGAAGAUUACUGCAAGGGUGGCUAUCAUCCGGUGAAAAUUGGCGAUUUGUUCCUCAAUCGGUAUCACGUUACGCGAAAACUCGGCUGGGGACACUUUAGCACCGUCUGGCUCUGUUGGGACUUUGAGGACAAGCGUUACGUUGCCCUGAAAAUCGUCAAGUCGGCACCGCACUUUACGGAAACGGCUCGUGACGAAAUCAAGAUACUGCGGUCCGUGCGCGAAAGCGAUCCAAACGAUCCGAAACGCAACAAGACCGUACAACUUUUGAACGACUUCAAGAUAACCGGCGUCAAUGGCACCCACAUUUGCAUGGUUUUCGAAGUGUUAGGCCAUAAUCUACUUAAACUGAUUCUCAAGUCGAAUUAUCGCGGUAUCCCGUUGCAAAAUGUCAAGACAAUUACCCGCCAAGUACUCGAAGGUCUGGAUUACUUGCACACAAAAUGCAAGAUUAUCCACACGGAUAUCAAGCCGGAAAACGUUCUCAUUUGCGUCGAUGACUCGUACGUGAAAAAGUUGGCGUGCCAGGCAACGCAGUUACACGCAAUGGGCUUCAAAUUGCCGUAUUCUUUCAUUUCGACAGCACCGCUCGAGUUUCAGGAGCAACCGAUCACCGGGAAGCUGAGUAAGAGUCAGAAGAAAAAGUUGAAGAAGAAGGCGAAACGGCAGAAUGAGUUGAUCAAGCAGCGAAUGGAACAGCUGGGAGAAGAGGUUAAUGCACAUGGUGAUGAUCAGGGAGUACCAAAAGAGAAUGGUGUUCCACUUGAAAACGGUGACAUUUCCUUAUCUGACGAGAAUCAUGAGAAAACAGAGGCGGCUGUCAGUGAGUUGGUCGAAGAUAGCGAGGCUACCCCUUCGACUCCUAAAGUGAAUGGCAGCGAAACGUUGUCACCUAAAAACGAAGCGACUGAAGCUUCGGAUGACGACGACGACGAAGAAGCUGCCAAUAAUGAGCCGGAAAAAGACAAAGAAGAAACGGAAGUUGUGGUGACGAAAGAAGAACAACAACCACUAGUGACGAUUAAAGAAGAAGGACAAGGAGAAGAAAAUGCCAAUGCAGAAGCGACGAAUCGUGCCGUACCUGAAGAAAACGACAAGAAACCUGUGACGGAUGGCGAAACAAUGCCCGAAACUGUAACGAGUCCAGUAAUGUCACGAUCGCGACGUCGCGAAUCCGAUAGCGGAGACGAAACACUCACCACCACCGCAAUGAAGUCCUUCGAGAGUGCCGAAAACUCAAACAUUUGCGACGACAUGACAAAACGCGAUGUGACCGCCAAGGAUCCAGCAUUCGAAAUAUGUGAUGUAGAGGUAAAAAUUGCCGAUUUAGGUAAUGCCUGUUGGCUAGACAAGCAUUUCACGGAGGACAUUCAGACGCGACAAUAUCGUUCCUUGGAGGUCAUCAUUGGCGCCGGCUAUGAUUGUUCCGCCGACAUAUGGAGCACCGCAUGCAUGGCAUUCGAGCUCGCAACCGGAGAUUAUCUAUUCGAACCGCAUUCCGGCGAGAAUUAUUCGCGUGACGAUGACCACAUUGCGCAUAUUAUCGAGUUGCUCGGCCCAAUUCCGAAACAUAUCGCACUGGGCGGACGCUUGUCAAGCUAUGUUUUCAAUCGGAAAGGCGAGCUGCUUUUUAUCACGGGACUCAAGCCGUGGGGACUUGUCGAAGUGUUGACGGAAAAAUACGAGUGGCCCAUGAAAGAGGCCGAAGAAUUUGCCGCAUUUUUACGUCCUAUGCUCGAAUACGAUCCAGCUAAGCGGGCCACCGCUGCCGAGUGUCUGCAACAUCCCUGGCUGAAGCAUUAGUUAGACACGAGCGACGAUCUCGUCGUCGUUCAAGAGCAACACUAACAGUAUCACUAAGAUCUACACGAGAAACAAAAAAAAAGAACUAUAAUCAGAUUGAAAUUGUCCGACAGUUGACAUCAUUUCGAAAACAGUGAAAAACAAGAAGAAGAAUGAUCUAAAAUUCGUCCACUAUUUGAAAAAUUAAAAAAAAUAAUGAUUAAACACAUUUUUGGAGAGUAAGUACAUAUUAGCUAUUAAAAAUAGGAUGAAAUAAAAAGGUAAAGAACAAAUAAUGGAAAAAAAAAUAUUCGAAUGAAAAUUUCAAGUAAUCGCCUAAAUUAAAAAGUUUUAAAAACUAGAAGAGAGGAAAAAUAAACAUUGAGAAAUUUAUUGUCAGAAAAAAAGCAAAAAACGCAUUUAAUA